UACGUAGGGGGCAAGCGUUGUCCGGAAUCAUUGGGCGUAAAGCGCGCGUAGGCGGUCCGGUAAGUCCGCUGUGAAAGUCCAGGGCUCAACCCUGGGAUGCCGGUGGAUACUGUCGGGCUAGAGUACGGAAGAGGCGAGUGGAAUUCCCGGUGUAGCGGUGAAAUGCGCAGAUAUCGGGAGGAACACCAAUUGCGAAGGCAGCUCGCUGGGACGUUACUGACGCUGAGACGCGAAAGCGUGGGGAGCAAACAGG
rnacentral:rRNA from 1 species